AAUUGAUCUUCCUGUCAAUUUUUCGGCCCUGUUGCUCGCAAUUACAUAGGAAAUGCAGUGUUUUUAUUAAAAAAAUAAAGUUUUGAAUGGUAUAGCAAAGCACUUGUGAAUAAAAAUGGAAGGAGAUAAUACGAUGCCAAUAAUUGUGAAACAAAAUAGAGUUGGAUUGCAUAAGAGCUGCUGCUACGGAUUGUGCAAAAGUAGUAGUCGCAGUAAAACUUCGUCCGUAAAAUUGUGCAAUUUUUAUUUUUAUUCUAUCCCUAAACCAUGUCUAAAAUUUAGAAAGGGUGAAAUUAAUAAUGCGAAUAUGAAAUUCCACUGAAAACGUGUGAAGCAUGCAGGAAAUGCAAUAAAUGGGUGAAGUCGUGUGGACGUAAAGAUUCAAAGUUUAAAUCAAUCAGAAACGUCAUAAAAGAUACAUAUAUUUGUUCUUUACACUUCUUUGGAUAAUCUGUAAUAACAGAAGAGCAUCUAAACCCCAUAGAAUGUCGACCGAAAACUAUGAAAGAGGGAGUAAAAAAGGCUAGAAGAAGCUUAAAGUAAAAGUUCCAACAUUUCUCAUUGAAGUCUGAGGAAUUCACUUGAAGCCAACUUUUUCUUCUGAGAUGCAGAGCAUGGACAUGAUAUCUCACUUUGUGUUUUGUAUUAAUUCUAAUGUAAAUGAAUGGAGGAAUAAAACAAUCUUGUGUAAUA